rnacentral:rRNA from 1 species
AUUGAACGCUGGCGGCAGGCCUAACACAUGCAAGUCGAACGAGUGGCGGACGGGUGAGUAAUGUCUGGGAAACUGCCUGAUGGAGGGGGAUAACUCCUGGACACGGUCGCUAAUACCGCAUACCCUCGGAUGUGCCCAGAUGGGAUUAGCUAGUAGGUGGGGUAAAGGCUCACCUAGGCGACGAUCACUAGCUGGUCUGAGAGGAUGACAAGCAACACUGGAACUGAGACACGGUCCAGACUCCUACGGGAGGCAGCAGUGGGGAAUAUUGCACAAGGGGCGCAAGCCUGAUGCAGCCAUGCCGCGUGUAUGAAGAAGGCCUUCGGGUUGUAAAGUACUUUCAGCGGGGAGGCGUUACCCGCAGAAGAAGCACCGGCUAACUCCGUGCCAGCAGCCGCGGUAAUAC